rnacentral:rRNA from 1 species
UGCGUAGGCGGUUUGGCAAGUCUUAUGUGAAAUCUUCGGGCUCAACCCGAAGUCUGCAUAAGAAACUGCCGGGCUUGAGUAUGGGAGAGGUGAGUGGAAUUUCCGGUGUAGCGGUGAAAUGCGUAGAUAUCGGAAGGAACACCUGUGGCGAAAGCGGCUCACUGGACCAUAACUGACGCUGAGGCACGAAAGCUGGGAGCAAACA